UUAGGCGAUGGAAUGGAGCCGAUAAAAGCCUGACAGUUUCCUCAUGCAAAUUAUGUUGUAUUAAAAACUUACGCAAAAAUUAAAAACAACGCAGGCCAAAAACAGCAAGGGGAAAGUGCUCAGUGGGGAAGCGUUCUUCUCUGCAAUUAGGAAGAAAGACCUCAGCCUUUGUUGGACAGCUGCCUGGUUCCAACUGGCUAUUUUCAGCGGCAUCGUUCCUGUAGCUGUCAGUUAUUAGAAUAGCAGCAAAUGUGCGUACGCCAAGAUUUUUCACUGCUUUCACCCAUCUUCCCAAACACCCAGAAGUCACAGUGCUGGAAUUACGAUGAUACAAUCGUCCCCAUGGAAACAGAGCUGGUGUCAUAAACAGGACAUUAUGACUUCUCAGCAGGGGGCUGCAGAUGGAAUUUUGGCAUUUGACGUGUAGGAUUUAUUCAAAAACACAAAUGUCUUGGAGAGGAACAGCAAGGGAGAGGGAAGAAAGGGCAUGGGGCUCCUCUUAUAAAAUGCAUUUAAACAUUCGUACUCACCUCUGACAGAGUAGUGGAGGCAUUUCCCCAUCCUUGAAGAGCACAGUUCUGAAAACAGCAGAGAUGACUUGUUUCCACCCAUUGGUCAAGAUCUAGGCAUAUACCUGGCUUUAGGAAUCCGAGUAAUCACAGAGGUGAUCAGGUACGAUGCCAGAUUCUGCACAACAGACUGAUACAACAGUUGAGAUGCUAUCAGCACUCUGGAGGCUCCUGUGGGUUAAAUGGGUGAGAUCAGCAAGUGUCGUAGUUGUUGAAGACGUGAGUACCAAACGGAAUGUUUUUCUUAAUUUAAUCAUCAAGAAAGAGACAGCUCCUUCCUCCAUGACUCAACUCGUUCUCCAUGGGCCCACUUCCGGCUCCGCAGAAAGCAGGUGUACCUCCAGGGUGAGUGGAACAAAUGGAACACACAGAACACGCGUCAUGGUUCUCCAUUCUGAUGGGCCCCAGAGCAGAUGGAAGACUUCAAUGGGAAUAUUGAAGUUACCAUUUUAA
rnacentral:lncRNA from 1 species